UACGUAGGGUCCGAGCGUUGUCCGGAAUUACUGGGCGUAAAGAGCUCGUAGGUGGUUUGUCGCGUUGUUCGUGAAAACUCACAGCUCAACUGUGGGCGUGCGGGCGAUACGGGCAGACUAGAGUACUGCAGGGGAGACUGGAAUUCCUGGUGUAGCGGUGGAAUGCGCAGGUAUCAGGAGGAACACCGGUGGCGAAGGCGGGUCUCUGGGCAGUAACUGACGCUGAGGAGCGAAAGCGUGGGGAGCAAACAGG
rnacentral:rRNA from 1 species